GACGUAGGUGGCGAACGUUAUCCGGAAUUAUUGGGCGUAAAGGGUGCGUAGGCGGCAUGAUAAGUUAUUGGCGGCAAAUCGAGGCUCAACCUCGUGGAAACUGAUAAUACUGUCUUGCUUGAGUGCAGAAGAGGUUAACGGAACUCCAUGUGGAGCGGUAAAAUGUGUAGAUAUAUGGAAGAACAUCAAUAACGGCGAAGGCAGUUAACUAUUCUGUUACUGACGUUGAGGCACGGAAAGCGUGGGGAGCAAAAAGG
rnacentral:rRNA from 1 species